UAGAAUACAAAUAUCGAACCAUUUGCUCAAGAGUGGGGUUAGCAAAAUCAACCAUCUCUCGACUCACUGGAGGACUACGGCCACCACGAGGGGGAAAACGUGGUCCGUUGUACCUCUGAGAUUCAAAGCCACGGCCAUGUUAUCCUAAGUCAUAUUGAUCAUGACGAGGAGCAUGCUUGGCAAACCUACGAGAAGAAGCUAAACGCACACUAUCCACUCGACGAGGUAGAGGAGCUGUUCUAGAUGCAUGUACACCAUGAGAAGGGUGGUACAUGUCCUUGUUUCCCCACACACGCUCACGCCUCAAAGCUUUCUUUCUUUGAAAACAAAACUCCUCAAUAUGACUCUCCCUUUUACAGUACUCACAGUGGAACUGAACAGGUUAUUUUGGCUGUCGGUUAGCUUUGGGUUGAGGAUUAACUUUCAGUUGUGGGUUAUCUUUGGGUUUAGUGUUCAUUCUUGGUUGUGGUUUGGUUUAGGGUUUUGGUGGAGGUUGCUUCAAAGGCAUAUCAGGGAGUGUGUCAAGCUUGUUUCUGAUGUGAUUGGGUUUUUUCCACCCAGAUGGCUUUCUUUGGAACUUUUGAUGGUAUCUCAAUAAACACUCCAUCUUUAACACACUCUAUAGAGUUUUUCUCACAAUCUAAGUUAGGUUGCUCUCCACUCAGCUUGGGUAGCUCAUAAGGAGUGGAAGUUGCUUGUUUUUCUCUCUCACCACUGCACCGACCAACCUUCUCAUACAACCCAUCAAAAACCUUUUCAUACAACCCAUCAAAUCUGCACUCCUUGGUCACAUUCUCAAUCCCAAAACCAUCAACCCUUUUAAAUUCCUGAAUCAUCAUACCCAACUGAGGUUCCCUACU
rnacentral:lncRNA from 1 species